AAGAAUGUAUAAGGAAUGCAAAAUAAUAACAUACGCACAAGCUGAGCUCAAAACAUCCAAAAUGUGUCAAGUGACCAUGAUCAAGCACGCAUUUUCACCCCCGGACAUCAUCGAGAAAAAUCGAAUUUUUCCCGAGCAACCUCCGACAUAUGAAAGUACGUAGUGUAGAGUGGCACAUAUUCAAAUUUCAUGCCCAUUGGAUGUCGUACGGGUACUUAAAUCAAGGGACGAAGUGGGUGCUAUGAAGUGACGUGAGCUUAACAUGAGUGCCUACAUGUGCGUGAUAGGUGAGUGAGUGCUUCCAGCUCAAUUUCUAUUGCAUUCGAUCACAAUGUGUAUGUUAAUUAACAUCUUCAGAUUGUCAAAUGCGGGAUUUUACAUAAUGCACAACAAACUUCACUUAGGCAAUUUAUCGAACAUGUAACAUGCAUUCCUUGUAAACCCUAAAAAAAACCAAAAAUUAAAUGUGCCACCAAUCCCUAACACAAUCCAAGUUCAAAAUACACAAUCCAUCGACUACCUAUUGCCCAUUCUCCGCAAUCAUGCACAAAAAUUGCUCAGUUCAUCUCGAUCGAACUAAAAAAAAUCAUAGAAGAAAGGAAAUCCGAGAGGGAUUUAAGAAACAUUACCUUGGUCGUGGUUGGAUUGUUGCUUCACGUGGUGAAGGUUUGGGAGUGCAAUUGGGACUUCGUGUAGUGAAUUUCUGGGUGAAAAUCGAAGUGUGUUCGUGAGAGAGUUGAAAAAAAUUAUGGUGGGAGAAGGAACCGGGCAUGGCUUAAAAACCCACGCCUAAUUCUGCCAAGCGGCCGCAUGGAUUUAAGCUGUGCGGUCGCAUGGUUCAAGUGGCGUUGGCCACUUGAAUCCCGGACGUUGGUUGUAUGGUCGCAUUGUGCGACCGCAUGAACCAAAUAUAAAUUUUUUUUUUUACCAUGCUAAAAAAAAUGAAUUUAAAAAUUAAAAAAAACUUUGAAAAUAUAUUCAAUUCCCCCAAAAUCACAAAUUUGAUUAAAUUUUAUUCCAAAUUUUGAUUUUCAAUUUAGUAGUCGGUCUGACUUCUCAAUGACCCCAACUUUUUCAAAGAUACAUUUCUAAACAUUUUGGGGUUUGCAUAGACCAUAAAUUUAGUGUCCGAAACCAAAUUUCUUUUUUAAAUUCACAAUCACGCAUUUGACAUUUCAAAUUUUGAAAAUAAACUUUUGUCUCGAAAUGCGUGAAUUACACCCCCAAUUACUAAAAAUAACUCCAAUCAACUCGAACUCGUGUGUGAUGUGUAGGGACUCGUGUGGACAGUGCUUUGACUCUUUUAACAUGUAUGGAUGAUUAAUGACCUAAUUUUUAAAAAAAUUGAAAAAUGAAAUUGAACAAUUCAUAAUCUGAUGCAAAAAGCAAAAUAAAUUAAAUUUAAAA
rnacentral:lncRNA from 1 species